rnacentral:rRNA from 1 species
CAAUUCGAUGAUACGCGAGGAACCUUACCUGGGCUUGAACGUAUGGUGCAUUAGGGUGAAAGCCCUAUUCUAGCAAUAGACUUCAUACGAGGUGCUGCAUGGCUGUCGUCAGCUCGUGCCGUGAGGUGUUAGGUUAAGUCCUGCAACGAGCGCAACCCCUGUUUCCAGUUGCCAUCAAGUAAAGUUGGGGACUCUGGAGAGACUGCCUGCGCAAGCAGAGAGGAAGGUGGGGGAUGACGUCAAGUCAGCACGGCCCUUACGUCCAGGGCUACACACGUGCUACAAUGGCCGGUACAGAGGGCAGCGACCUGGUGACAGGUAGCGAAUCUCCAAAGCCGGUCUCAGUUCGGGUCGGAGUCUGCAACUCGACUCCGUGAAGCUGGAUUCGCUAGUAAUCGGAUAUCAGCAAUGAUCCGGUGAAUACGUUCCCGGGCCUU